rnacentral:rRNA from 1 species
GACGAACGCUGGCGGCGUGCCUAACACAUGCAAGUCGAACGGAAAGGCCCUGCUUUUGUGGGGUGCUCGAGUGGCGAACGGGUGAGUAACACGUGAGUAACCUGCCCUUGACUUUGGGAUAACUUCAGGAAACUGGGGCUAAUACCGGAUAGGAGCUCCUGCUGCAUGGUGGGGGUUGGAAAGUUUCGGCGGUUGGGGAUGGACUCGCGGCUUAUCAGCUUGUUGGUGGGGUAGUGGCUUACCAAGGCUUUGACGGGUAGCCGGCCUGGGAGGGUGACCGGCCACAUUGGGACUGAGAUACGGCCCAGACUCCUACGGGAGGCAGCAGUGGGGAAUAUUGCACAAUGGGCGGAAGCCUGAUGCAGCAACGCCGCGUGCGGGAUGACGGCCUUCGGGUUGUAAACCGCUUUCGCCUGUGACGAAGCGUGAGUGACGGUAAUGGGUAAAGAAGCACCGGCUAACUACGUG